rnacentral:lncRNA from 1 species
CAGGUAGUUUGAUUUUCUAUAUGUAAUUUUGUUCACUUCUGGUGUUAUGGUAGCUAACACUUGCUUAAAAAUCUGAACAAAAUCGUACGCACAAACCGAGAAAGAGAUAGUUAUAAAAUUAACCGGAACUAUAUGGAUAGUUGAUUCAGUACAACCAUAUGCUGACAAUUUGUAAGGAAACCUUUUCUCAAAAUGAAUUUAUUUUCCUACUAGAAGACAUUUAUUUAUUUAUUACAAUCAUAUGCCAGUGUUUGGAGGAUUAUAUAUAAGUAGUUGUCGUUUAUGUGUUACUUUUUUCCCCCUCAAUUUCUUGAAGCUUGCAGAAGCUUUCUCUAGGGAUGGAAUGUCGUUUUCGGCUACUUGUGAAAAUCUCCUCCCUCGACCAUGGAUUAUCGAUGACCUUGACACUUUGAAAAUAAGAUGGAGCAAGAAGUCUUGGAAAAAGGCAAGUGUCAUAUGGUUAAAGAAAUAUACAAUUCUUAUAAUGCACUUUAUGUCUUCUGAUGUAUUUUAGCCAAGGGUAGUGUCAUAAUCAAUUUCUUUUUCAUGGCAGGUUAUCAUAUUUGUUGAUAACUCGGGUGCAGAUAUAAUUUUAGGUAUUUUGCCAUUUGCAAGGGAGCUCCUUCGGCGUGGGAGUCAGGUUUGCACGCAUUAAUUUAUUUCCCUUUCAACCGUAUUUUCUGGUCUGGAAGUUUGAGUCCAACUGUCAAAACAAAGUUACAUGUUCUUUUGUUGAAGUGUCUAUAUUUGUGGACAGAGGCAACAACUGUUGAACCACGUAAAAUAUGUGUUUUUUUUGUCUUUUCCAUAUGAUGUGUUUUGCGUGUGCAAGUUUGUGUUUUAGCAGUGGGGGAAGGAUGAGGUGGAUAAUGGUAGCAUUUAUGUUAUUGAACACAAUAGAUUAAUGUGUCGCAAUAUCUGGAAUUCAUUUCGCUUUAUAAAGAUCUUAGAGGAACUUCAGAUUUUUUAAUUUGUUUAAGUACUUUAAUUAGAUUAACUGAACUCUUGUUUGUAAAAGACAUGAUUCAUAGUCCAUUUUUAAAGUUUUUUGAAAUUUCGAAUUGCUUUGAAUGCAGGUUGUUUUGGCUGCUAAUGACUUACCUUCUAUCAAUGAUGUGACUUACUCUGAGCUAAUUGAAAUUAUAUCAAAGGUAACAAAAAUGAAUUUCAACAAAUAUUUGGUAUAACCAAAGUUCUUUCCUAACUCUGUCAAUUUGGUUGCCAGUUAAAGGAUGAAGAAGGACGUCUCUUGGGUGUCAGCACUUCAAAACUUUUAAUUGCCAACUCUGGAAAUGAUUUACCUGUAAGAUUUUUUUUUCAGAAACAUUUUGUUUGCUAUAUUAGGAAAUUCUGGUUUCUUGUUAGUUUAUGGCCGAUGCUGUCAAAUAAUUGACUUGUAUGAUGAUUACAUUCUUGUAUGGAUUACAGGUUAUUGAUCUUACAAAGGUGUCACAAGAGCUUGCUUCCCUUACCAGUGAUGUAGAUCUUGUCAUUUUAGAAGGGAUGGUAUAAGUUCUUUCUUAGACAUUGUAUGCUUUUUCUAUUGGGGGUUAGAUGAUGUAACAUUUUCAUAUUUACUCCCUUUUUACCCCUUUCUACAAAGCCUAGUGGCGAAAUUAACACAACACAUCCUUUCUUUCCUUUUCAACUGACACUUUUAUAAAGCUAUAUUAGCUGUGGUUUUGUUAAUAAUACAUGUAACUAUUUACUGCUGAGAGAGAAAUAUGCGGAUGAGGUAAAGUUUAUUGGUUUUCUUAGUAUGUGUAAAUGGCCUUAAAAGAAACUAGAAAGGAACGGAGGGAGUAGUUGAUUGGACAAGUUGUAAGUUGUAACUAAGCUCUCUUGUUGAGUUCACAUUGUCUCCAGUUCUUUCUUCAAUAGGCGUAUUUAGUUAUUCAAUAAUUCUUGUCAGAAAUUGGUUUGAGUUUUUAACACGGACACAUCUCUUAUGACAGGGGCGCGGAAUAGAAACAAAUCUCUAUGCUCAAUUUAAAUGUGAUUCUAUGAAGAUUGCAAUGGUAUUUCUUUGAAUCAUUUUUAACUUCUUAAAGUAUGAGAAUUUGAAUACCGAUGAUGUGAUUUUCUUAUAUUUUUCUUUGUCAUUAUUUUUCUUUUAUAGGUGAAACAUCCUGAGGUUGCAGAAUUUCUUGAGUCGCGGAUGUAUGACUGUGUAAUCAAAUACAAUGAAGUUUAGAGCUUAUAGUUAAGCCUGAUUCUUUUACAAUGUAGAAUUUUCAUUCAAGAUUUGUUCUCUAAUACCAUUUGAUCAUAUACAGAUUAGUGUUUUUAAAUUGAAUUGAGAAUUUCAUGGCCGUUGAGAAUUAACUAUUUGAGAUAUAAGUCUUCGGAAUAAGAGAAUUCUUGAAUGUGUAUAUGAGUUGUAUGUGUUUCUUAAUUCUUUUGAUGAAUUUGUUUGAUUAUCAAGGGAUUGAUUGAUAAAUUACUUUUGCUUAAUAACAGUUUUUGUCUCCAUAUUUUAUCCAAUUAGGGUUUUUGAUCCCUCCAGACUAUAAAUCAGAGAUUUUAGUUUCCCAAUUUUUCAAAGCUUUGACAUUUUUCUUUUUCGUGAAAUUGGAAUAGAAAUAUGGCAAUGUGACAAAUGAUAUGAUAUUGUGCAAUUAUUUCAUUAUCAUUUUAAAUGAAAAUGAGCCAAAACUGAAAAGGAAAAAAAAAAAUGUACUACAGAUUGUUCACCAAUCAUCAUUUGGUAAAUCAUCAUAAUAUCACUAAUGAGUUCAUCAUCGUCUCAUUCCACUUGCCACAUUAUCAUAACAUUUGACAAAUCAUCAUAUCACUCACCUGACCAUCAUAUCAUUUGUUACAUCAUCAAAUUUCGGUCUCAAAAUUUUAAACUAGACAAAAUGGCAAAGUUAUAAAGAAUUGGAGACUAUAAUAAUGAACUUAAACCGAGGGGAUCAAAAUUCCGUAUUAGAAAAACCGAGGUAAAGAAAAAACUACAAUUAAAUCAAUUACUGUUUUUUUUUUUUUGGUGGUGACCGGGAUUCGAAUCCCAAACAUUGAUAUAUUAUGCAUUGUCCUUACCAACUGAGCUAAAUUAAGAGGGACAAAUCAAUUACUUGGAUAAUUUUGUUUACAAUAGAACAACUUGUUCAAGACUCUAGGAACAACUCAUCUGCUUAAGACAGAGAUCCUUUACCUGAAAAGGACUCUAAUCGUAGUCAAUCAACUACUUGAGUUGAAUCAACCUCAUGCUUUUACUGAUGCUGUAAAAAUUAACUUACCAGGAAAGAAUUGUGGUUGUCAAAAGUUGCAAUGUUUCCUGUUAGAAGUUAGUUGGUUUGUUAGUUUUCCACGUGGCUGUUUUGUUUCCAUGAUGCAUCUCUGGUGAUGGUUACUCAUCAUUAUAGCAAAUAUAUGUAGGGUACAUGUGCUAUUUUUGUCCUUGUUAAGAAUUCUAUUUCUAUAUUGUUGAUUAUUUCCUUGUUUGUUGUAUUAAUAGGUUUCCAAAUCUGGAUUUUUCUUUGGAUCCCACUGAUAUUUGUAAAUAUAAUAGUUAAUUUAAUGAGGAGUGUUAUUUGAACAAUCAUUUGGUUGAUAACUUUUGGGACAACUAUAAUUUACAAAGAAAAAGUUUGUAUUUGCACGAAAACCAAAGCAAUAAAGAGAUAAAGUAAAAAGUAAUGUGAGUAUGAGAGAUAAAGUUGUCACAGAAGUUGUCAUAAAAUGAAUGUUCAAAUAUCAUUUCUCUAAUUUAAUUAACGUUUUUUUUCUUUCUGAAUGUUGGAUUGAGAAAAGUUUUAUAAUUUAAAGGCCAAAUACAAUGUUUGUUCCUUUUAGUUUGACAGAAUUCUCAAGUUGGUCCUUUAAGGUUCAAAAGUUUUAAAUAGAUCCUUUUAGUUUGACAGAAUUCCUAAGUCAGUCCUUUAAGUUUCAAAAGUUUCAAAUAUAUGCUUUUAGUCGAUAAACUAUUUCACUGUUACCCCUGUUGUCAGUAUCCGUUUAACUGAUGUUGAUGUAGUCGUAAGUUGUUGACUUGGAUCAAAAUGCUGCCUUUUAAAAGCUUCAUGGUGUUAAAACGCUAUGUUUAAUGGUCACAAACGAUCAUUUCUAGUGCUAGAAAGACAACUAUUUACAACAACAAAUUACUUUCUAGCACUAUUAAACGACAUUUAUAGUGCCAAAAUGAUAUUUGUGACCAUUAAACGUAACGUUUUGACACCUGAAGCUUUUAAAAGACAGCGUUUUGAUACAAGUCAACAACUUAACGGCUAUUUCAGCAUCAAUUAAUUAUUAACUGACAGCAAGGGUAACGGUGAAAUAAUACCUAUUUGAAACUUUUGAAACUUAAAAUCUAACUUGGAAAUUCUGUCAAACUAAAUAUACCUAAUUGAAACUAACUUGAAUUAUUGUUGGAACAAAAUUGGUUCAGCAAUAACUAAUCCUUAAGAGUUUUGAUGAUAACAAGGUAUUAAAAAUUGUCAAUUGGACACACUAAUAUUUGUUUGAGUGUAUAGGACAAUAGACAAACUUUUGAACAACUAUUUUGGUCUUGGAAGAACAAAUAAAGAGCAUAUACAUCAACAAAAAGGGAAGCUUAAAGCCUCUGAAGAAAACUGCGUCUAAAGUUUGAAGUGCUCCUGAAGACAAAGUGCCUCUGAAGUAAUGACGUCAUCAGAAGCAAGUUCAUCAGAAGCAAGUUUAUCAGAAGCAAGUUCACCAGAAGCUGCAGAUUAUCAUAAGAUCAACCUAAAGCUUCAAAAGCUGUUUCAAGGAUUCAAGCUCACCAGAAAGAUUGCAGAAGACUUGGAAAGUUGACAACGACUAGUUUGAAAAGCAUUGGAUGCUUUAUCCUCAAAGAGCGUUGACAUUGUGAGUAUGUACGAACUGUACAACCACUACUUCCACUACUCUGAGUUUGUCUCUGCUACAAGACAAGGAUAACAGCUCUGCCUGCAAACAAUGUUUAUACACAUUGGGAACGCAUUUGAAAUUGAUCCUUCAUAGGACAAUAACCAUAUCAGGCAACGGAUCAAGGGUGAACUUAUCAAAGCUUCAAACGACUCUCUGAUGUGCUUAAAAAAUCUCAACGUCUCUUUUACACCUCUAUAUAAAGGAGUGAAGACCUGAAGAUUUUUUAAGAGACUCAUACCAAUUCAAAGCGCCAAAACUCUGCAAAAAUUAUUUCACAUCAAAGCACUUAGAAUUUCUGUGUUCAUUUGAUAUAUCUUAGAAAUUCUUAAGUCUAGAGAGUCCUUCAACUGUAUUGUAUUGUGAACACCACUGAUUGUAUAUCAAGUGUUCAAUCUCAAACAAUUUUCUGUGUAAUUCUGUUUGAUAAGAAGUCUCUUGCUUUAGUGCUUGAGCAUAAGAAGUCUCUUGCUGUGUGCUUGAGCAAAGGAAGUCUCUUGCCUGCGUGCUUGAGCAAUUUGAAGUCUCAUACUAGGUGUAGUAUUGAGCAGUUGUAAUCAGUUGUGAUUAAACUUAGUGAAACUCUACUUGGAAGUGCAAGGGGGACAAGACUGACUUCCGGUUUGUGGAAGGAACCUGUAUAAUUGCCUGUGUCCUUCUUUCUUCUCUCUUUACUCUGUUUUACUCCGCUGUGCAUCUGAAUCUGAACUGCACAUCAGAAGCAUUUCAACAGCUUCUGAAGUGACCUCAGAAGAAGAUUUUAAUCUGGGAAAAAGAAAACACAAUUCAACCCUCCCUUCUUGUGUUUUUCUCACCUUCAAUUAUGUCAAACGAAAAGGACAAAAAAUGGUAUUUGACCUAAUUUAAAAGGCAAAUUCUAUGGUACACCCAACAAUUUGAGUGUAUCGGUACACCAAAUUAUUAAAUUAAUAAUUAAACGAGUUAUUUUCGUUAGAAAAAGAGCUGUUUUCUAUCAUUGAUAAUUACAAUAAUUAAUAAGAUAUAUAUUAUGCAUGAGAGCUAUUCAUAUUUAGAAUGCUGGUAUGAAUCUAAAAAAAGUAGAAGAUGCCUUCAAUAAGAAUUUGGGUCCAAUAGAGACAUUUUCAAAGUAAAAUUGCAGGCAGCAAGAAUAUUGUUACAAUUUUAUUAUUUUGUUACACAAUUGAUAUUGUUAUUUAAGUAACAAAUGAAACAUUUUAAGGUGUAUGUAAAUGGAUUGUUUUUGGUGAAAAAGAAGGGCAAUCCUCAAACAAAGAAACGAACAAGAAGAAAAAAAUACAAGCAUCUAAUGAGAUAAAAUCAGGGGAAACAACAAAACCAGCAAUGAGACCCAUCAAGAGAUGGUUUGAAUCUCUGAAACGAAAUAAAUAUUCAUUAAAACUUAAAUGAAAUGGUACCAUUGAACCAGAAUCGAUCGGUUUCUUGAUUGGUUUUAAGAUGUCUUUAUCUAAAAAGACUUUUAUUUUAUUUUCUCCUUUGUCUAAAAAAUUAUACAUAACAACUUCUCAUUUAAAGUUGUUUUUUUGAUGUUUUUUAUAGUCUGAUUUUUGUAAAAAAAAAAAGAAAAAAACUAUAACAAACGUAUGUAUUACUUUUAAAAAUGAUUAUAUUUUUUCAAAAUAACUUAUAACAAAGCGGGUUCUUAAUCAAAGUACUAUAUUUGAUUAAUGAUACAAACUCGUCUCUCUUUUAGAAAAUACUCUUUUAUAUUAUCUAAACAAAUUUUAAAAAAAUUGAUAAAAAUUAGAGAAAUGUUAAAACUUAAAAGAACACAAUCAUCAAUACUCACUCACACCACAGCUUUGUAUGGAUGUCAACAAUAGUCACGUUGAUAUUGAGCUCGCAUCGGUUUUUGUGCAUGACCCACACACCAUGUCUCAUCUUUGUUGUUGGAUACGAUGUCGACAAUUCCUGUGUUAAAAUAGCACAACUUCUUUGGCUUCAAGGUGCACCCAAGAGCCUAAUGAAUGCCAUGAAGAAGAGUGUAGAAAUAAUGGUGCCCAACCCCACACGCAUAAUGCAUUAGAUACUAAUUAACGUCAUUCUAAAGGCCUCUAUAGAUAGACCUAACUUCUAAGGUCAGGCAUUGCCAAACAAAAACUCCCCAUUUUCAUUUUACACUACAAGCAAGCAAGCACUCCGUCUUUUCCAAGUGAACUACAAACCUCCAUCAACAUUGAGAACUAGAUAGGUAUUAAGGUAUGCCACUCAAACUUGAUAUUAAAUAUCAUAUCAUUCAUUGUUCCAAGAUUAGUUGAUAGCUAUGAAACACAUACACUUUUUGGAUUAGACGUGUCAUGGUACACGUGUCAUGUUGGACACCGAACAAAACCGACAUAUAUAAUUACACUAAAUUAUGUGAUUUUAUUAAAUUAUUAACGGUGUCGACGUGUCAAUAUCCGUAUCAUGUCCGAUGUCUAUGUCCAUGUCCAUGUUUCAUAGGUUGAUAGCUUCAUUUCAAUGGAGGAAGUUAAACAUUUAUUAUUUUAUCACCAACUCAAACUCAUAGGUGCUGCAACCAUUGGAAUUAUAUUGGCUCAUCAUCAUCAUCAUUUCAUUCCCAUUUUGUUUCUUUUACUCUUUCAACAACCUACAGGGUUAACUCUCUCUCCCAACAACAUUGCAUUCAUCAAUCAGCACUAGUCAAUCAUCAUUCCCAAACACUAGGUAUCCCUUACAUCAUUAAUGUUGUUAUCAUGGUUACAUUAUAUGAUUAAUGUUAUCAUGGUUUUGUUUAUGCAAGUGUGUUUGAUUGUUGUUGUUCUUGAUAGUGGUGAAAGUGUAGUGAUGAGAUGAUAUUGAUGAUGAUGACGACGGCGACGAUUAUGUGUUUUAUGGUUGUUGUUGUUUCUGGAUUUUUUUCCUUUGAAUUUUUUAUGAAUGUCGAUGAAGGUGGUGUUAAAGAUGAUGAAGAUAAAGAUGAAGAAGAAAUAGAAGGAAGAUGAUGAAGAAAAAGAAAGAAAAAUCAAUGUUGGUGGUUUACCGUUAGAUUCAAUGGUUUUGCAUGAUCAAAGGGUCGGUUUUGUUUCAAAAUGAUAAUAAAGGUUAAAAUUAAAUAAAUUAAUAAGGUUUAUGGUGGACCGCAUACAAUGUUGGUCCACCUUAGAUAUUUUAGGUUAAAAUUAAUAGAGCGAGAUCAAAUUAGAUGACAGAAACAUAUUUGAGCGACCAAAACGGAAUUUUUAUAAUCAAAGGACCAAAACAAAAUUUAAUAAUUAUUCAGGGAUAGUUUUUUUUUUGAGGGAUCCAAUUAAGUCUUUUUAACCUGUUUUGAUUAAUUCUAUUGAAAAAAUAUUUUCAAUAGAAUUAAAAAGAAAGACAUUCAAAUAAGCCUAGUUAGUGCCAUAUAAAUAUAUUUCUUUUUAACUCGUUUUGGUUAAUUCUAUUAAAAUAUUUUUACAAAACCUUUUGAUUGAAUGAAUCUUCUCCAAUAAAAAAAAAGACAUCCAAAUAAUUAAAGGUGCACACUUUAUUGUUUCGCACAUGACAUCAAAAAUCUUAGUACCGACUUUAUACACGUGCCUUUGAUUUUGCAGCCACAAAAAAUGAUUUUAGUUAAUAACAAGUUGAAUAUAAAAUGAUUUAUAUUUGAAUACAUUAAUAUAAAAAUGAGUUUGAAGUAUAAAUUCCACGCUAAAAAUCACAUUUAGAGGCAACAACUCCAAGUUAGAAUAAAUUCUCGACUCUGAAAUAAAUUCUACUCGAGAAUAAUCAAACGUGUUGAAAUAAAUUCUACACCACUGUAAUUUUCUCUCUUUUAAAAGUGAAACCAAACAACACUUCAAUCUACAUAUGUUCGUAUGUAUGUAUGAAUAAAAUGUCAUAAAAAGUGACAACUUGGUAAUGUUACUUAAGGAUAAUAUAGUAUGUUCAGUCAAUCAGUUGCACUUAAUUAUUUGCAGCCUCUUAUUAGGACUCUUACUUUAUGAGUAAACUACAUUGUGACUGAACUGAAAGUGAAAUGUAUAUUUAUCAGAAGAAGAAGCAAUGACAAUUAGUACACCACAGUUGGUGAGAUUCCCUUUGUUGAUGGAUGAUAGUGACACUACCAAUUAUUCAGCAUGCACCAUUCCUUGGAGGCUCCCUUCUGAUGAUCCAAAAGUCCCCACUCCCACUGAGUUAUCUUGGAUUAAUCUCUUUUGCAGUGGUAUCCCCUCUUACAAGUAUGUUCUCUCAGAACAAGGAUUUUAUUAUUUCAAUGUUUCUUGUUUAUUUAUAUUAAUUUGAAGCUUUUAUUUGGUACAGGAAGCGUGCUGCGAGUGAUACUUCUGUUCCUGAUGCUGCAAAUAAAGCCGAAAUUUAUGCUCAAAGGUUGUAAUGUCUGUUUUUAUCCUAAGCAAUUCAAAUUGUUGUUAAUUGUAAUAUUGAAUCUUAUUUUGGUUCAUUUCUUUCAAAAAGGUAUGCUAAAAUACUUGAAGAUAUGAAGGAAGAUCCUGCAAGUCAUGGAAAUCCUCUUGAUAUCCUUGUAUGUUCUUAAACAGAACUUCGUACGCAAAAAAUACAAUAUUUGAUAUAGCCUGAUUUCCCCUUCUGUGUUUUCCCUCAUUUCUCUUUAUUCUUUUGGUUUUUGUUCUAGCUUCUAUGCAGACUUCGUGAGGAACUCCUUAAAGAACUAGGGUUCAGAGAUAUCUUCAAGAAAGUCAAGGUAAGUUCUAUAUGAUAAAUGCCUAAUGCUAUUCGGCUAAAGUGUGGAAGAAUGGUAUGUGUAUAUCUGGUUAUUGUGGUUGAAGCAAUUUAAGAUCUUAAAGCAAGAAUAUGUGGAAGUUUAACUGCAAUCUUUUCACAAUUUUGAUGGCCAAAGUUGAAUAAAUUUAACAUUGUUACUUAUCAAUCUCGUUAAGAUUAGGGAUGGAGUGGACUAUCAAUAAAUUAUGUAGUUUCAUUUUGGCCAAGAGUUGUAAUAAUUCAUAUAUAUGAUUUGAAAGCAACAGAAUGAAGAGAAUGCAAAGGCCAUCUCCCUAUUUGAGAAUGUUGUUCGUCUUAAUGAUGCCAUUGAAGAUGAAGGCAAGCGACUUGAGAAUUUAGUUAGAGGAAUUUUUGCAGGGAAUGUAUUUGAUCUUGGUUCUCCCCAGGUAGUAUGAUUUUUUCCAUGUAAUUUUGUUCACUUCUGGAGUUAUGCUAGCUAACACUUUCUUAAAAAUAUAAACAAAAUCGCGUUGCAAAAUAAUUCUCACCAAGCUAUAAGAAUAGGUUAUUCGGCACAACCAUAAGCUGACAAUUUUUAUGGAAACCUUACCUCAAAAUAAAUUUAUUUGCUCACUAGAAAACAGUUAUUUAUUACAAUCAUUGUGCCAAUGUUUGAAGGAUUAUAUAUAAGUAGCUGUAGUUUAUGUGUUAUCUUUUUCUUCCCUCAAUUUCUUGAAGCUUGCAGAAGCUUUCUCUAGGGAUGGGGGAAUGUCGUUUUCAGCUACUUGUGAAAAUCUCCAACCUCGACCAUGGAUUAUCGAUGACCUUGACACUUUGAAAAUGAGAUGGAGCAAGAAGUCCUGGAAGAAGGCAAG